CUACGGGUGGCAGCAGAGAGGAAUUUUGCGCAAUGGGGGAAACCCUGACGCAGCAACGCCGCGUGAGUGAUGAAGGCUUUCGAGUCGUAAAGCUCUGUCAAGUGGGAAGAACCUACUAAGUGCCAAUACCACUUAGUACUGACGGUACCACUGAAGGAAGCACCGGCUAACUCCGUGCCAGCAGCCGCGGUAAUACGGGGGGUGCAAGCGUUACUCGGAAUUAUUGGGCGUAAAGGGCGCGCAGGCGGCCAGGUAAGUCAGAUGUGAAAGCCCGGGGCUCAACCCCGGAAGUGCAUUUGAAACUACGUGGCUUGAGUAUGGGAGAGGGAAGUGGAAUUCCUGGUGUAGAGGUGAAAUUCGUAGAUAUCAGGAGGAACACCGGUGGCGAAGGCGACUUCCUGGACCAAUACUGACGCUGAGGCGCGAAGGCGUGGGUAGCAAACAGGAUUAGAUACCCCGGUAGUC
rnacentral:rRNA from 1 species